AAUAUUGGGCAAUGGGCGAAAGCCUGAUCCAGCCAUGCCGCGUGUGUUAAGAAGGUCUUCGGAUUGUAAAGCACUUUAAGUUGGGAGGAAGGUCAGUAAGUUAAUACCCUGCUGUUUUGACGUUACCGACAGAAUAAGCACCGGCUAACUUCGUGCCAGCAGCCGCGGUAAUACGAAGGGUGCAAGCGUUAAUCGGAAUUACUGGGCGUAAAGCGCGCGUAGGUGGUUCGUUAAGUUGGAAGUGAAAGCCCCGGGCUUAACCUGGGAAUUGCUUUCAAAACUGACGAGCUAGAGUACGGUAGAGGGUAGUGGAAUUUCCUGUGUAGCGGUGAAAUGCGUAGAUAUAGGAAGGAACAUCAGUGGCGAAGGCGACUACCUGGACUGCAACUGACGCUGAGGCACGAAAGCGUGGGGAGCGAACAGG
rnacentral:rRNA from 1 species